ACGCCAUUGGCUGCACUUGGUUAUUGACCUGGCCUACUACCUGGCAGGAGGCGGUGGCGUUGGAGAGUUAGAAAGAUGUUCGUCUAGGAGUCAUGAUGCAAAUAUAGGCCCUUCCUUUAUCUAUUGCUACUCGAAAUCGAUCGAAGUCAGAGGGAGGGCGAUUGAGCCUCACGUAUGGUUGCUGAUGCUGGAGUAACCUA
rnacentral:lncRNA from 1 species